AUUAACGCUGGCGGCGUGCAUGAGACAUGCAAGUCGAACGGACGGGCGAGCUUGCUCGCCCGUUAGUGGCGGACGGCUGAGUAACGCGUGGGUGACCUGCCCCGAAGUGGGGAAUAACUGCCCGAAAGGGUGGCUAAUACCGCAUGUGGUGACUGGUUCGUUCCAGUCUCCAAAGCCGCAAGGCGCUUCGGGAGGGGCCUGCGUCCGAUUAGCUCGUUGGUAGGGUAACGGCUCACCAAGGCGACGAUCGGUAGGUG
rnacentral:rRNA from 1 species